rnacentral:rRNA from 1 species
UGGCGGACGGGUGAGUAAUGUCUGGGAAACUGCCUGGUGGAGGGGGAUAACUACUGGAAACGGUAGCUAAUACCGCAUAACGUCGCAAGACCAAAGAGGGGGACCUUGGGCCUCUUGCCAUCGGAUGUGCCCAGAUGGGAUUAGCUAGUAGGUGGGGUAACGGCUCACCUAGGCGACGAUCCCUAGCUGGUCUGAGAGGAUGACCAGCCACACUGGAACUGAGACACGGUCCAG